AAGAAGGUGACAGAGCGGUUAUGUGGCUGGCUUGAAACCAGUACACGGGGGUUCAAUUCCCUCCCUUCUCG
rnacentral:tRNA from 1 species